CUAACUUUAUUUGUUGUCCUCUACUCGCUCUCCUCCAUAUUCUCUCUUUUUCUUCCUUUUCUUAUCUAUUUUUCUCCCUUUUGCUACACAUCACCUUUUUCUUUUUCAUUUUUACUUCUUUCACCGUAACCAAACCUAUCACCACCAAACACCAUACCUCUUAGCCACUGUAGCUCCUCCUACUUCUCCUCCUCUUUCUCUUCCUCAUUGCCGCCAAUCACUAUCGUGAUCAGCACUGUGCGCCACUACGGGUCUCUUUUCUCCUCUAUCUCCCUUCUCCUUUCAUCUUCUUUUUCCAUCACUUCUUUUGUCGAACCUUUAUUAUUAUUAUUUAUUUUUUUGACACCCUUUGCCAGAUCAUCACUCCUCUGGUCUUCGAACCGCUGUCACCGCUAUUGGACCACUACCGUCUCCAUCGGUGGUUGAGUUUUCUUCUUCUUUUCUUUUAAAUCUCUUUCAUCUCCUCUAGUGACCAAACCUACACCACUCUCCUAUUUGAAUUCCUUACUUUGUAUUUUAGUCUUACCGAUCAAAUGAUUCUUGUAGAUCACUAAACUUCUCUGUUCCUUCACCAAGUCGAAUCACCGACUUCGUCGUGUUAAACGAGUAAACUACACAAGUAGUUUUGGCAUCAUUCCCUUCUCUCUAUUUUUCUCUUAAACCGAAUGGUACUAAGUUUAUAUGCUUGUCCUUUGUGUGUUAACACCCUUGUCCCUAUGUUCUUUGAAGGACCGAACGACAACGACUUAGGAAAUCAUUAAUGUUGGGAGUGAAGGUGUUAGAUUCGAGUGUUAGAUUAAGAAUAAUCCUUAUGGUUAGUACUCGGAUGCGAUCAUCAAUGAUGCUCUUGAAAAUGUUUUUAAAUAAACAUAUGGAAUUUUAUUUAUGAUUUGGAUGUUUAUGGACUUUAUUGCUAUUUGAGACUUUUUAUGUUAAAUGA